AUUAAUGUGGCAGAGUAGUGCGAUAAAUUUAAGCUUUAUAUAUAUGUUAUAGUCAUUAAUA
rnacentral:tRNA from 1 species